GGCUGUAUGGCAUACAGGUGUGUGCCUACGCGCCGGGAAAAAGUUAUGUCCGUUUGACAUUUCGUUUACGCGAUGACGAUGGCAAUUUAGUCCCGUCGCGAUUAUUUCUUUAAAUUGGUGUAUAAGCCACAUAUAUUAUGAUGGAAGGAUGGUGAAGUCUUCUGGUGAGUGUUUAGAUGGUUAUUAUCGUGGAACGUUGGCAAUUAUGAGCUUCAUAUGUUCAUGACAAUGACCUAACCUCACGUUCUUUCUUUCAGUAUAAAAACAAUGGUUUAGUCCAUCGACUAGGGGGAAUGCUGUUAUAAUAUCGUCCCACGUGAUGUGGGGUCAAAGUCCACCGGCAGAGUCCAGUGUCAAAGUUCAUCUAGAAUGAUCAACUGUAAAGUCUAACUUCAAAAAUCAACUUCAAGGUCUUCCUUCAGGGUCUAGCUCCCCAGCCAUGACUACCAUUUGUGUUCAUUAUCUGCUUUUGCCGUCAGGGUCAGUUCCUGCUGCGGUCAUUAAUGUACAUAAUUCCAGUUUGGUGUUAAAAUCUCUGGAUACCAUCUAGAUAUCUCUUCUUCAUGAUUAAUUUAACUUAUUAUGGAUAGUGCCAUGCUCUCAAGAUGUUAUUCUACUAAUACAUGGAGUAUUUAUCCUCCAUACAUACUCCAUGCCUUUUGUCAGGACCUGCCGUCCUGACACUUUACUUAUCCUCAUAGGUAUAAAACCUAGUUGUUUAGGAAUAAUACUAAGUUAAGAUACCAUGUUAUAGUAAUAGAUUUAUUUCUUAAUUUACAUUAGGAUGGUUUGUAACCGACUGACUUCAUAUUGUUUUAUUGUGAAAUUGUUGAACCAAUUAUACUAUAGUUAAAAGUGAAA
rnacentral:lncRNA from 1 species